rnacentral:lncRNA from 1 species
GGUCAGCCCCAGUCAGCCAUGGUCAGCCCCAGUCAGCCACGGUCAGCCACGGUCAGCCCCAGUCAGCUGUGGUCAGUCCUGGACAGCCCCAGUCAGCCAUGGUCAUCCUCAGUCAGCCAUGGUCAGCCCCGGUCAGCCCACUGAAACCCCACUGUUAUCCAUGAGUCUAUCCUAGAAGCUGUCCCCAUAGCCAGAAGGAUGA